rnacentral:rRNA from 1 species
GAUGAACGCUGGCGGCGUGCCUAAUACAUGCAAGUCGAGCGAACAGACGAGGAGCUUGUUCCUCUGACGUUAGCGGCGGACGGGUGAGUAACACGUGGAUAACCUACCUAUAAGACUGGGAUAACUUCGGGAAACCGGAGCUAAUACCGGAUAACAUGUUGAACCGCAUGGUUCAACAGUGAAAGACGGUCUUGCUGUCACUUAUAGAUGGAUCCGCACCGCAUUAGCUAGUUGGUAAGGUAACGGCUUACCAAGGCAACGAUGCGUAGCCGACCUGAGAGGGUGAUCAGCCACACUGGAACUGAGACACGGUCCAGACUCCUACGGGAGGCAGCAGUGGGGAAUCUUCCGCAAUGGGCGAAAGCCUGACGGAGCAACGCCGCGUGAGUGAAGAAGUUCUUCGGAUCGUAAAACUCUGUUAUUGGGGAAGAACAAAUGUGUAAGUAACUAUGCACGUCUUGACGGUACCUAAUCAGAAAGCCACGGCUAACUACGUG